CCCUUAGAUGUUCCGGGCCGCACGCGCGCUACACUGAUGCAUUCAACAAGCCUAGCCUUGACCGAGAGGUCCGGGUAAUCUUUGAAACUGCAUCGUGAUGGGGCUAGAUUAUUGCAAUUAUUAAUCUUCAACGAGGAAUGCCUAGUAAGCGUGAUUCAUCAAAUCGCGUUGAUUACGUCCCUGCCCUUUGUACACACCGCCCGUCGCUCCUACCGAUUGAAUGUGUUGGUGAGGAGCUCGGAUUGGCAGCAGUUGGUGGUUCGCCACCGGCUAUUGCUGAGAAGUCCUCCAAACCGCCCCAUUUAGAGGAAGGAGAAGUCGUAACA
rnacentral:rRNA from 1 species